rnacentral:rRNA from 1 species
AUCCUAGUCGAGCGGAAAGGCCUUUCGGGGUACUCGAGCGGCGAACGGGUGAGUAACACGUGAGAACCUGCCCUCAGCUUUGGGAUAACCAUCGGAAACGGUGGCUAAUACCGAAUAUUCACUUCUCUUCGCAUGUUGGGUUGUGGAAAGUUUUUCGGCUGGGGAUGGGCUCGCGGCCUAUCAGCUUGUUGGUGGGGUGAUGGCCUACCAAGGCUUUGACGGGUAGCCGGCCUGAGAGGGCGACCGGCCACACUGGGACUGAGACACGGCCCAGACUCCUACGGGAGGCAGCAGUGGGGAAUAUUGCACAAUGGGCGGAAGCCUGAUCACGACGCCGCUGAGGGAUGACGGCCUUCGGGUUGUAAACCUCUUUCAGCAGGGACGAAGCGAAAGUGACGGUCCUGCAUAAGAAGCGCCGGCCAACUACGUGCCACAGCUCGGGUAAGACGUAUGGCGCGAGCGUUGUCCGGAUUUAUUGGGCGUAAAGAGCUCGUAAGCGGCUUGUUGCGUCUUCCGUGAAAACCUGGGGCUCAACUCCAGGCUUUGCUGUCAUCGGCAGGGCUUAAGUUGGUAGGGGAGACUGGAAUUCCUGGUGUACGUGAAAUGCCC